rnacentral:rRNA from 1 species
UACGAGGGGUGCAAGCGUUGCUCGGAAUUAUUGGGCGUAAAGGGUAGGUAGGUGGUCUCAUUUGUCUGGGGUGAAAGCCUUGGGCUCAACCCAAGAAGUGCCCCAGAAACGGUGAGACUAGAGUCCUGGAGAGGGUCGUGGAAUUCCCGGUGUAGCGGUGAAAUGCGUAGAUAUCGUAAGGAAGACCAGUGGCGAAGGCGGGUCUCUGGACAGUUCCUGACGCUGAGGCACGAAGGCCAGGGGAGCAAACGGG